rnacentral:tRNA from 1 species
CUACGGACUUCCGUUGGCUUUAUAGACCAUGAGGGUUCAAGUCCCUCUACCCCCA